rnacentral:rRNA from 1 species
AGCGAACGCUGGCGGCAGGCCUAACACAUGCAAGUCGAACGAACUCUUCGGAGUUAGUGGCGGACGGGUGAGUAACACGUGGGAACGUGCCUUUAGGUUCGGAAUAACUCAGGGAAACUUGUGCUAAUACCGAAUGUGCCCUACGUGGGAAGGAUUUAUCGCCUUUAGAGCGGCCCGCGUCUGAUUAGCUAGUUGGUGAGGUAAAGGCUCACCAAGGCGACGAUCAGUAGCUGGGCUGAGAGGAUGAUCAGCCACAUUGGGACUGAGACACGGCCCAAACUCCUACGGGGGGCAGCAGUGGGGAAUCUUGCGCAAUGGGCGAAAGCCUGACGCAGCCAUGCCGCGUGAAUGAUGAAGGUCUUAGGAUUGUAAAAUUCUUUCACCGGGGACGAUAAUGACGGUACCCGGAGAAGAAGCCCCGGCUAACUUCGUGCCAGCCGCCGCCGUAA